CGAUUUUAAUCGGACAACAUCAAAACGUUUUGAUAUUAUACGAUUUUUAUCGGUGGAAUUUUAAGUAUAACCAAUCAGAUUUCAUGCUGUGAUCACGUGCUUGUAUUUAUUUGGCAACAUGGCGGCUACAGUUCAGGGAGCAUAUUUUUUUCGUAAUCGUGUGCGGAGUAUACCGAUGUAUAUCGGUAUGUCAAACGAUUUUUAUCGGCCGACCAAAAUCGCGUCGUGUGCG